GGAGUUAGCCGGUGCUUCUUCUGUGAGUGAUGUCCUUCCUGCCGGCUAUUAACCCGCAGGCCUUCUUCCUCACUGAAAGUGCUUUACAACCCGAAGGCCUUCUUCACACACGCGGCAUGGCUGGAUCAGGGUUGCCCCCAUUGUCCAAUAUUCCCCACUGCUGCCUCCCGUAGGAGUCUGGGCCGUGUCUCAGUCCCAGUGUGGCUGAUCAUCCUCUCAGACCAGCUACGGAUCGUCGCCUUGGUGAGCCGUUACCUCACCAACCAGCUAAUCCGACAUAGGCUCAUCCGAUAGCGCGAGGCCCGAAGGUCCCCCGCUUUCCCCCGUAGGGCGUAUGCGGUAUUAGCCUGGGUUUCCCCAGGUUAUCCCCCACUACCGGGCAGAUUCCUAUGCAUUACUCACCCGUCCGCCGCUCGCCACCAGGGAGCAAGCUACCCGUGCUGCCGCUCGACUUGCAUGUGUUAGGCCUGCCGCCAGCGUUCAAUCUGAGCCAUAAUCAAACUCUGA
rnacentral:rRNA from 1 species